UCGUAACAAGGUUUCCGUAGGUGAACCUGCGGAAGGAUCAUUACUGAUUUGCUUAAUUGCACCACAUGUGUUUUUUAUUGAACAAAUUUCUUUGGUGGCGGGAGCAAUCCUACCGCCAGAGGUUAUAACUAAACCAAACUUUUUAUUUACAGUCAAACUUGAUUUAUUAUUACAAUAGUCAAAACUUUCAACAACGGAUCUCUUGGUUCUCGCAUCGAUGAAGAACGCAGCGAAAUGCGAUACGUAAUAUGAAUUGCAGAUAUUCGUGAAUCAUCGAAUCUUUGAACGCACAUUGCGCCCUUUGGUAUUCCAAAGGGCAUGCCUGUUUGAGCGUCAUUUCUCCCUCAAACCCCCGGGUUUGGUGUUGAGCAAUACGCUAGGUUUGUUUGAAAGAAUUUAACGUGGAAACUUAUUUUAAGCGACUUAGGUUUAUCCAAAACGCUUAUUUUGCUAGUGGCCACCACAAUUUAUUUCAUAACUUUGACCUCAAAUCAGGUAGGACUACCCGCUGAACUUAAGCAUAUCAAUAA
rnacentral:misc_RNA from 1 species